CAGCUGGUGUCAAUACCCCUCCUGACAAGUUACUCCUAUAUAGCAACAUUAUCUGGAAUUACCCUUUCACUGGUGCUGAACUGUGCAUCUGUCAUGAAGAAUAUUUUGUGUGUAUCAAUAGUAACUGCAAUGUUUAUGCUGCAGAAUAAGGCUGUGGAUCAAACCAAAGAGGAGCAG